AUCCCUGGUCCGAGGCUGUAUUGGACACCCACCGAGAAGACAGCACCUCCGAGAUUCCUAGAGAGGCCGGCCUGGCGACUUGGGAAGCCGGAAGCCCGUCUCGAGGCACUUCCUGUCCGGUCAUUGUUCUCGCGCCGCCAGGCGUAGUUCGUUGGAUCCUGCCAGCCUUUUGCUACAAAGGCCGCGAGCUCCGGCCGUCUCUCUUCCGUGAACACGACAGCCUUCAUCUUGGCCCUGGGAAGAAAUUCGGAAAGAAGUUUUUGAAACUUAAAGAUUAGAUGGGGCUUGACCUCUGCUGGGCAGCCCCCAGCUAUAAGAGUUCCUGUCCUGAGCAAAGAAGAUGAGUGCACAACCAAGAGAGGCCAUGGCCUUAGCUCCCUGGGGCUCAUUGACAGUGAAAAAGGAGGAGGAAGAGGAAGAAAACUUCAUGGGUCAGGCAUCCAGUCAACAAGUACACUCUGAGAACAUAAAAAUCUGGGCUUCUGGGGAAGGUCCUCAGACAGGCCUUGAUAUAUCAGAACAGGAGAAAAAGGGUCCAAACUUGUUUUGGGACAUGGCUGUCAUCCUGAAAGCAACACAGGAGGCACCUGCUACCUCAGCCAUUGGCAGCUACUCAUUACCAGGGACUCUGGCCAAGAGUGAGAUACUGGAGACUCAUGGGAUCAUGACCUCUCUAGGUGCUGAAACCAAGAACCCACAGUUAUUGGUUCCAAAAACUGAGAUAUGUGAUGAAGCAGAAAAACCAUUCAUAAAGUCAGGAAGAAUCCAGAAAGUUAAUCCUCAAGGACCUGAGUUAGGAGAAGCCUGUGAAAAAGGGAACAUGUUAAAGAGGCAGAGAAUUAAGAGGGAAAAGAAAGAUUUCAGACAUGUGACAGUGAAGGACUGUCAUGUACCUGAAAGCUUCAAAGUAGAGGAAGAUCAGAAAUGUCAGAAAUCUGGGGAAAGAUACAGUCUUAGUUGUAGCUCUUUAAAAAAUCAGAAGAGCCAGCCUGGACAGAAACCUUUUACUUGUAGUGUGUGUGGGAAAGGCUUUAGUCAGAGUGCAAACCUCGUGGUGCAUCAGCGAAUCCACACAGGGGAGAAGCCCUUCGAAUGUCAUGAGUGUGGGAAAGCCUUCAUUCAGAGUGCAAACCUUGUUGUGCAUCAGCGAAUCCAUACUGGACAGAAACCAUAUGUUUGUUCAAAAUGUGGGAAAGCCUUCACUCAGAGUUCAAAUCUGACCGUACAUCAAAAAAUCCACUCCUUAGAAAAAACCUUUAAGUGCAGUGAAUGUGAAAAAGCCUUCAGUUAUAGCUCACAACUUGCUCGGCACCAGAAAGUUCACAUUACAGAAAAAUGCUAUGAAUGUAAUGAGUGUGGGAAAACAUUUACUCGGAGCUCAAACCUCAUUGUCCACCAGAGGAUCCACACUGGGGAGAAGCCCUUUGCCUGUAAUGAUUGUGGCAAAGCCUUCACCCAGAGUGCAAAUCUUAUUGUACAUCAACGAAGCCAUACUGGUGAAAAGCCAUAUGAGUGUAAAGAGUGUGGAAAAGCCUUUAGUUGUUUUUCACACCUUAUUGUGCACCAGAGAAUUCACACUGCGGAGAAACCUUAUGAUUGCAGUGAGUGUGGAAAAGCCUUUAGUCAGCUGUCUUGCCUUAUUGUGCAUCAGAGGAUUCACAGUGGAGAUCUUCCUUAUGUGUGUAAUGAGUGUGGGAAGGCCUUCACGUGUAGCUCAUACCUGCUUAUUCAUCAGAGAAUUCAUAAUGGGGAAAAACCUUACACAUGCAAUGAGUGUGGCAAGGCCUUCCGGCAGAGGUCAAGCCUCACUGUGCACCAGAGAACCCACACUGGGGAGAAGCCCUAUGAGUGUGCCAAGUGUGGUGCAGCUUUCAUUUCUAACUCACACCUCAUGCGACACCACAGAACCCAUCUUGUUGAGUAAUAAGUACUUGUUACUCCAGGCAUUGAUCAUAAUCCACUACACCCUAAUUGGACACGUCUUUGCUGUUUUGUUCCUCUUAAAAAUGAGACCCACCAUGUUCUUAAAAGUAACAGUAUUCAAGAAUGUAUCACAGAAGCAUUUUAGAGGCUGACAAAAAACAUGGAAGCUAAGCCCCUAAAGGCAAGGACUCCUUUUUUAACUGUGCCAGCAUUGGUCAUGUUUGAAACGGAACGUGGCUUUCUUAGAAAUGGGUCAUACAACCCUAAGUGAUAAAGAUCCUAUUUGAGGAAAGGUAUUUUAACUUGUUUUUUAAAACUCUUAGUUUCUUGAGCAACGGUCAGGUUAUUGCUAUAGGGCUGCGUGGUGGGAUUCUGAACUUUGAAUCUUGUAUUCUAGUAUUUUGGGUUAGGAAGCAGUGAUUAGUUAAGGAGACUGCAUGGGGUAGCAAUUCACCAACAACUCACCUGUGAACAUUUAUAAGCUUUCCAUUCCUUAGGCAAUUGAAACAUUAAAAGAAAACCAAAACAUUAUCUAUUGCUCCUAAAAUGGAUAGACGUAGGAAACAGCUGUUUCUCUUAAUUGUGUAUACCUCAUGAACCUUAUUAUGGUAAAGCUCUAGGGACAUCUCAUGAGUCUUCCAUUCUGCCAUCUAUGUGGCCAAGCACUUGAGGAUUGAUGGAGAAAAAACACGGGGCCCACAAAUACUGCCAGGCAGUAUUCAUUUGCUAACAUCAACAACUCUCCCAAGUGACCCUGACUUCAUUGCAUUCCAUCAUAAUGAGAUACCUCUAAUAGUCCCCUACCCAGAUGGAGGAGUCAAAGAAUAAAGCUUGCAGAGAGGCAUGCCUGUAUUACCUAUGCUCGUUCUGCUCAGACCCAGCCAAGGGUCUCAGUUUGAGUGUCAUUCUCACUUUUUGGCUGGUCUUCAGAAGAAAUAAUGGAGUCCUAAUUUUGAGAGGACCAAAGAGGGAAAUACAGGAAGAGGGAGGAGGCAGAGUGGGACUCCUAAGGUCCUUACUUUUUUGAGAAGUUCAAAGGUCUUGGAAUGUGAAAACUUAGAAAGAUGAAGAAACUGGCUAAGGUAAGAUAAACUUUUGUUACCAUUGAGCCUUUAUUCCUGGAAAAAAUGAUUUAUAAAACUAUGCAAUAGGUAGAGCUAUAUAAUAUUGCCUUGUAUUUAAUAUAGAACUUAAUUCUUUGUUUAUAUACCUUCAUGUAUAGAAUCAAAGUCCCCCAAUUCUUCUCUUACACUUUCACAUAGAUCCUUAGAACACUGAAAGAAGUGUUUGCCCCAUUUAACUGAAAGUGGUCAAACAACAAAGAACAGCCUACGUUCAAAUCCAGGAUUUAAAUCCAGGUUCUCUGUUCUGCUGUGCUGUGUCUAACCACCUGUAAUUCCCACUCAGAUCUACCGAGAGCCUGAGAAAGGUAUAUGGUCUCUUUCAGGUGAGGAAGCUGAGGUGACAGAUUUUCGGAUGUGCCUUAGGCAGUGUGACUAGUAAGCAGCAAAUCUGAGACUGAAAUUUGAGUCUCCCCAAGUUCUGGGUCUGCCUCUUCACCCUGCUGGGCAAAAGCAUAUUAAAAAAGCCCUACCUGGUAAUAAGCUAUCUGGUGCAACUCUCAUGUAGAAGUCCCACCAUUGGGACUCUUGCUGGCGCAUUUGUUUUAUAUUUUACAGAGCACUUUCAUGUACAGACAGCAUAAACAAGAAAGCAUAUUUCCUCUUUCUCCCCUUCAACCAUGGUCUUUCAUUCAAGCAUGUGCAUCACUGUUUGCACUCUAAAAUCAUACAGACAAUUCUAAGAAAUUAAUAGGAUUCAAAAGAGAAUCAAAAAGGCUCAUGCAUUCGCUGACCUUGAAGGUAACUGUUCCUGUCCCCCACCUGGGAGUGGAGAGGUCCAAAGAUAAUACUAUGUAUCUGCUGAGAAACGAGCUUGGGGCCCCCCCCCCCCCCCCCCCCACUGCAGGAUUAGGAAGCCCAGAAGAGAGGGAGAGCAGGUCUGAAGAUUGGGAAUAAAUCUGUGACAUGGACCUGUCAAAAGACCAAAAGUGCACUUUCCUGAAAGAUACCAACCAGGUUAGGAUCCUUAGGACAGCUAAAUUGUUUUAGCUUCAUAUUGUAUGUUCAUCCUCCUAUUUGAAUGCUUGUCAUGGAUGAUUGUGAUUUCCUGGCUAAAGAUUGUUGUUCAUAGGCAGUUCAAAAAGGCCAUGCAGGUGAUUGUGAUGUAAAGCUAGAUUUGGGCAUCACUGACCCAGCCUUGUAGUGUAACAGUGGUAUUCACUUGACUACAUGUUAAAAUCACCUAGUAUACUUAAAAAAAUUUUUUUUUCAUUCUCAGGGUCAAGUUUUUGUUUGUUUGUUUUUUCCCCCUCAAUUCUGGAGGGGAACCCAGUGUAUAACCAAGAUAAGGGACACUUCAGUCGAAUCAGUUCUGCAGGCCACAAAUGCAUGUGAUCAAAGGUGGAGUGGGGAAGCUCUAGUAUAAAGAUGUAGAUGUGCAGAGUGCUUUGUGUGGUUUCAGCAAAACAGGAUGCUAACAACCUUGGCUGCAUUGGAUGUCCUGUACCUUGGCUGUAAGGAUUGUGUGCCCUAACUUUAUUUGUAUUUUAGGUGAAUAUACCAAGUAUAUAUAUGAGCAAACCAAGUUUUACACAACAUACUUUCAUAUUCCCCAUUCAACAAAAUUACUUUUUACAUUUCUACUAUAUUUCAUUUCCAGGUCUUUAUUUCCACAAACCUGCACCCAGGUUCAGGACCUCCAGUCCUACACAAAUCAUGUGAGCCUAGUGGAUUACCAGGCCAGAUCCUUCCUUACUCAGCUAACAAAUCUUACUUCCAGUUUAUUUCUAGCCCUCAAAAAAGCCCUCCUUUUUUGGUGGUUUUGGGUAGAUGAGAAGUGACUACUCUUAGUUGUCACUGUUGGCUUAGGUUUUCCUUUUCCUAGAAGUCAACUCCUUUCUCCCUUGGCUGUUAUUUCUAGAAGCGAGUUGGGAACUCAAGUCCUGUUAAGUUACCAAGAGCUAUCAGAGCCAGGACAAUUGAUGGGUAUUAAGAGUAGAGCCAAGAAGUCUCAAGUGGGUGCAACAGUUAUGUAUUAAGGGGAGCACAGUGAUGUCAAAGUGAUAAAAUCUUGUACUUUGGGGGGCAUGGGAGAGGAUCAUCAUUGACAUACAUACACUCACACCCCUCAACUGCCCAUGGAUUCCUCCAAGCUCAGGACCAAGUUUUUGGGCAAAGCUAAUCUAUGUUCUGGGUCCCUUCCCUCCCUUGCCUAGGCAAUCUGGUGUCCUUUCACAUCUGUCACUUUGCUUGCUCCUCCAUCUAGUGUUCUCAAUCUUUCUGGGCUCACAGCCCCUUUGAGGAUCUAAUGGAAGUUGUAAAGCCUCUUCCAAAGAAAUGCGGAUAGCACAUUCAGUUUUUUGUUCAUUUGUGGGAGCAUAUUGUUUCACUGAGGCCAGUUCUUGAAUUCUCUAGGGCCUAAAGUCACACCUGGGGAUUGUACUAUAUAAUUGCCAGAGGCAUUAAAAAAAAAAAAAAAAAAGAGGUCUAGAAGCUCUGGAUGUUCCCCCAAAACAACCUUUUAUAUCUUGCUUUUCCUGGAUUCCCUCCUUAAACAAAUUACAGCAUUAUCCAGCACCCAAACUGGAAAUCCAGGACAUAUUUCUGGCUUUCUGUGUAUCAUUCUUUAGCUACAACAGUACUUUUCACUCUGUGGCAAACAUGGUGCUAGUUCCUGGAGUCCAAAAGCAAACAAGGUCUACCAAAUCCUUCUGAUGUUUCAUAGGAAGCCUCUCUGGACCUUUUAACAUGAUUUACUAAAGUCUUCACAGUUUCUUUCCAACCUUAUCUUUCUACUUUCCAUGUACUUUUUACUGUAGACUGGAGGCAUGGGCUUGCUUUUCUCUGUGUCUUUGAUCACACUGUUUCCGGUGCUUAUUACCACCACCUCUUAUCCACCCCCCUGUCUACUGAGCCUAGCUUUAGAUUUCUUUUAAGAUUUGAUUCCAGUCUCAUCUUUGGGAGCCCUCUGACUGCCAUUUAGCAAGUAUAUAUUUAGAAGUAUGGAAGAGCAUAUGGUAGGUAUCUACUUUAUGCUUUAAAGUGAAAAAAAUGAAUUAAUAAUUGUGUAUAUAGUACAGUAAUCAUAUAAUGUUUCAUAUACUCUAUACUGUUAAAACAUAGCAGAUAAGUUAUAUGAAGGAAAUAUAAGAAAAUGUAAGUGGUUAAAUGACAUUCACAGCCAUACAGAUAGAUGGUAAACUACAGAACUUAGGCUCAAACCCAAUCCCAUAGAUUAUAGAAUUAUGGGUGAUUAAAAGUCAUUUUUAAAGUAAUUUCCACAUUAUCUAUAAGGAACAAGAAUUUUAUAAUCAGGAAGAGAAUAAAUUAUUAUAUUUACAUAUUUGGUUUUAUUGUUUAACUAUAAACAGUAUUUUAAAUCUGUAUUUUAAGAUGUGGGCUAUACCCUGCCAUUUCUUUCUCCUUCCCUUUCCACCUCUCUGCCUCUGCAAUGUAAAGUCUGAUUCUUGAACUCUAUUCUGUAACCAUAGUUAGUCCUUUAUGCUUUGUUUAUUGACUUGUUCUAAAAAUUGAAAAUAAACAGCAUGGAUGUUAUUAUGACCAUAUAAAUAUUGCAGAUCUAAGUAGCUUGCUGUGACUACACACACACACACACACACACACUGCAUUUUGUUUUUACUGUAGUUUUUAGUUGUCUUUCUUUUCCCCUUGUACUAAUGGCUUUUAGCAUACUCUGAGUGAUUUUCAGAUUCUCCAUUCAAUUAGGUACUCUGUUGAAUCCUCUUUUUUUCUCUUCAAGAGAUCUCUAGCUUCCUGCGGUGUUCUGUCCUUGACAUUUUCCUGCCCACUGUUCCAUUGUUAUACGGAAUUUCAUUGUGUCCUGAAUUGUACAUGUUUCUCUUUUUUCAUUAACUCCAUCAUUUCACUGCAGCAUACCUUCAAGUCACUUGCCAAGAAAGAGUAUAUGAAAGACAAAAUUAUUGAGGACUUAUAUAUCAAAAAACAUCUUUCUCUGUCCUCAAUCGUGAUUGGUACUUUGGUUCUGAAAUUUUACCUUGAAAAAUUUCCCCAGAACUUGUAGAUGCCUGGUUCCCAUCUGAUUUUUUAAAAAUUUUAUAUAAUUAUUUGUCAGAGAGAGCACAGACAGGGAGCAGCAGGCAGAGGGAGAAGAAGCACGCUCCCAGCUGAGCAAGGAGCCUGAUGUGGGACUUGAUCCCAGGACUCUGGAAUCAUGACCUGAGCUGAAGGUAGCCAUGUAACCAACUGAGUCCCUCCAGUCUGAUUCUUAUUUCUUUUACAGUAAAUACUACUUGCAUUACUAUGAUCCGUUCCCAAACCCCCAUGCCUGGAAGCUUUUAAAGUCACCUCUUUAUUCUUGGUGCACUCGAUUUCCCAGUAUACUCAGUGGAAUUUUUCAAUCUAGUGACCCAAGUUACUUUUAUUCUUGGAAAUUUUCUUGUGUUAUGUCAUAAUUCCCCCUUCCAUUUUUUCCCCUGUUUUUACUCUUUCUGAAAUUCCUGUCAAUCAAAUGUUGAAGCUUGUGGAUUGAUUCUCAACUGUUUUCUGUGUUAUUACCAUAUUCUUGUUUUGUGCUAUUUUCAGGGAGAAUACCUUCACUAUUUCUCAACCUGUUUAAUGAAUUUCUGAUUUUGGCAAUAAUUUCUAAAAAGCCUCCCCCCCCCCCCCGUUUGUUCCCUUUUUAUAGUAUACUAUUCUCAUUUUAGAGAUACCUUUUCUUAAAGGUUUCUCUGUUACCUGAUAUCUCACCCCUUCAUGCCCUUGCCCCUGAGUCCUUUUUUUUUUUUCUCUUUGUUUACUCUCAUUGGAGACUUUCCUUGAAUAUUUUGUGAUUCUUACUGACAGAUACAAAUAAAUCUCUGUGUAUGUAUCAAAAGUCCAAUUGAGAUCUCUGGGGGAGUGGGAUUUCCUCAGUUAAGAGGCAUCCUUCUCGAGUACUUGGUAGGGAGCAAACUCCCUGGAAACCUCCAAUGCCAGAAUGCUGUGAUCUUUUGUGUGGGGCUCAUCUGCUUCUUUAGCUGGAAAUCCUCUGCUGUUUUAAUCUGGGGUUUGGAUGACAUAAUGCUUCUUAAGGAGUGGGAGAGAAGAAAAUCAAGUGUUAUUAUAGACUUUUGAUUAAUGCACUUAUUUUUAGCCUCACUUUUCCCUCCCACCCUUAAUAUACCUGGGGUUUCCAACUGCCAAGUUGCUUUGGGAUUUGGCAGGGUAUGUCAGUGCAUUUUUCCAUCCUAUAGAGAUUUGUUCUCCUCAUCACAUUAUUAUUUAUACAUUUUAAGUCAUUAUAAUUCAUUAUCAUUUUAAGGGAAGUUAAAACAUUUUUAAAAAUGUUGAUAUGCUUGGAUAUAGUACUACCACCUAGCUAUCCUAAAAAUGAAUAUUUUGCCAGUGUUACUGUUUUACAAAAAAAAGAAGAACAAGAACAAGAACAAGAACGAAGAAAGCAACCCAAGUGAUUAGUGAUAGGAGAAUGAUUAAAUUAUGAUAUGCUUGAAUAUUAUGCAACCACUAAAAUCAUAAUUUAAAGGAUAUUUAGUAAUAUAAAAUAUUCCCAAUAUUAAAUGCUAAGUACAAAAUUAAAUGGUGGGUUCAGAUAGCCCAGUUUUCUUAAAUAUGCAAGCAUAGAAAAAACUAAAGACAGCAAUACAUGGCAUGGUUAAUGAUUAAAUUUUGCUGCUUUAUAUUUUCUUUUUUUUUUUUUUUUAAGAUUUAUUUAUUUGACAGAUCACAAGUAGGCAGAGAGACAGGCAGAGAGAGAGAGGAGGAAGCAGGCUCCCUGCCGAGCAGAGAGCCUGACUCGAGGCUCGAUCCCAAGACCCUGGGAUCAUGACCUGAGCCAAAGGCAGAGGCUUUAACCCACUGAGCCACUCAGGCGCCCCAUCUGUAUUUUCUACAAUAUACCUCAAUUACUUUUAUGAUCAGGAGGAGAAAAGCUAAUAAAAAAAAAAAAAGCAAGAUCAUGGUCAUACAGAGUGAUGAGAAAAUUUCGGGGAGUUUGGUAGUUGAGAUGCAGAAUAAGAAAUGGGAAUAAAGAGACCAGUUACCAAGGACCUAAUGGUGGACAGAGUUCAUUCAGGGAAUAUGUAUAACCACACUGAUUGUGACAUAUAGUUGUGGCUGGAGUGUGGAGGCUAGGGUGGUGAGGGGAGAAGAGAGUCCUGGAGAUCAUACAGAUAGCUUUUGUCAGACUACAAGGAAGAUUCUGACUCAGGCGGUAUUGGGGCCAGAAUAAAAGGCACAGAUGGAAUGAGCAGGCCUUUGAGGCAUGAAAGAUCAAGCAGCAAAUCCCUAAGCCGGAAAUCAGCCUCCACACUCUGGUGAAACAUGACUUGUGACCCAUCAUUUCUGGCCCAGGCCUGAGAAGCCCUGGCUUCCUUGUGACUCUCUGGGGCCACCCUUUGUUCACAGUGGGAAAUGCAUUUGCAAUUUCAAUCAAAAUACCAAAAAAUAACUACUCUUUAUCAACUUAACCUGCAAGGGAUAAGUUGCCCCUGUAGGGCAGGGGUUUGGGAGAAGCAACUUAAGUCCUAGUAGUAGCAAGGUUGUAACCACCCCAUUGUUGAGGGGUUUCUGUGUGGGAGGCUAAAUGCCAAAUAUUCUUUAUUUGAUUUAGUUCUCACCUGAGGAGGGGAUUUCUUUUUAUAAUCCCUACUUUCAAGAGUGUUGUUCACAGUCAAUGUUAGAAUAACUCUGGGCCAAAGCCUUUGCCCCUUUCUUCCAGGCUACUUUCUCAAUGUCCCUCCAAAGACCCUUCUCAUCAAAAUUUACAAAAGGAAACGACAGAGAGUAAGUAAGUCUUCCUUCUAUCCUAGAGCACUCCAGGUUAGGAAUACUCUGGAAAUAACUGUUGGAAAUUUCUUGAUCUUCCAGAGAGAGUCCUUGCAUUUACAGUCUUCUGUAUCUCCCUUUAAACACACUCAUAAACUGGAGCUUAGGAUAUGGACUGUCUACACCUUGUUUUGUUUUUAAUUUAGUGUGUCUUGGAGAUGGUUCUAUAUUAGCCUAUAAGAUCUACGUCAUUCUUUCUUUUUUCUUUGCUGUGUGAUAGUGAAUUGUAUGGAUGUACCAUGAUUCAUGUAGCAUAUCCUGUUGGUAGAGCACAUAGGUUCUUUUCUAUUUUUUGUUUUACAAACAAUGCCAUGCUGAAUAAUCUGGCAUACCAUCUUGUGUGUGUGACUUUCCAGGGUAAAUUGAUAAAGGGUAGUUAUUUCUGGCAUUUUGAUUGAAAUUGCAAAUGCAUUUCCCAGUAUGUGUGUAAAAAUUCCCAUUUCCAUGAGUCUUCUCUAAAACUAUUGUGUUUUGGUCUGGCAAGUAAAAACUUCUCUCAUGCUUUAUUUUGUGUUCAGUUAUGAGUGAAACUGGAUAUCGUGUCAGGUAUUUACAAAGUCUUGUGUUUCUUUUUUCUGUCAUUUGCUUGUUCAUGCUCUUUAGAAGUUUUUUGUUGAGUUGUUGAUCCUUGUAAGAAUUGGUUUGUAUGAGUACAGCAUCCUUUCUUGAUUAAAACUUCAUAAGUGUAGGGAUAUACAUACCUCAGUAUCAUAAAAGCCAUCUGUGAAAAACCCACAGUGAGUAUCAUUCUCAAUGGAGAAAAACAGAGCAUUUCCCCUAAGGUCAGGAACACAGCAGGGAUGUCUACUCAUCACUCUGUUCAACAUAGUACUAGAAGUCCUAGCCUCAGCAUCACACAACAAAAAGAAAGAAAAAGACAUCCAGAUCACCAAAGAAGUAGUAAAACUCUCACUCUUUGCAGAUAAUACGAUUAUCUACAAACCAAAACCAAAAGACUCUACCCCAAAAUUGCUGGAAUUCAUACAGGAAUUCAGAAAAGUGGCAGGAUAUAAAAUCAAUGCACAGAAAUCAGUGCAUUUCUCUACCAACAAUGACAGGAGAAAGAGAAAUUAAAGAAUUAAUCCCAUUUGCGAUUGCAUCCAAAAUCACAAGAUGUCUAGGAAUAAAUCUAACCAAAGAGCAAAAGAUCUGUACUCAGAAAACUAGAGAAAAGUCAUGAAAGAAAUUGGGAAAGACACAAAGAAAUGCAAAAAUGUUCCAUGCUCAUGGAUGGGAAGAAUAAAUAUUGUUAAAGUGUCUAUGCUAACCUAAAGCAGUCUGCACAUUCAAUGUAAUCCCUAUGAAAAUACCAUCAACUUUUUUCACAGAACUGGAACAAAUAAUUCUAAAAUUUGUAUGGAACCAGAAAAGACCCCAGAUAGCCAAAGGAAUGUUGAGAAAAAGAAAGCCAAAUAUGGUGGCUUCACUAUUCUGGACUUCAAAUUCUAUUACAAAGUUGCAAUCAUCAAGACAGUAUGAUACUGACACAAAAAUAGACACAUAGAUCAAUGCAACAGAAUAGAGAACUGAGAAGAGUACUCUCAACUCAGUGGUUAACUAAUCUUUGGCAAAUCAAGAAAGAAUAUCCAAUGGGAAAAAAAAGACAGUCUCUUCAACAAAUGGUGUUGGGAAAAUUGGACAGCCAAAUGCAGAGUGAAUCUGGACCAUUUUCUUACACCAUACACAAAAGUAGACUCAAAAUGGAUGAAAAAUCCUCAAUGUGAGACAGGUAGUCAUCAAAAUCCUUGAAGAGAACAUAGGCAGCAACCUCUUUGAUCUUGGCCAUUCAGUCUCUUGCUAGGCACAUCUCCAAAGGCAAGAGAAACAGACAAAAUGAACUUUUGGGACUUCAUCAAGAUAAAAAGCUUCUGUACAACAAAGGAAACAGUCAAUAAAACUAAAAGACAACUGACAGAAUAGAAAAGAUAUUUGCAAGUGACGUAUCAGAUAAAGGGCUAGUAUCCAAUAUCUAUAAAUAACUUUCAUACUCAACACCCAAAGAACAAAUAACCCAGUCAAGAAAUGGACAAAAGACAUGAACAGACAUUUCUCCAAAGAAGACAACCAAAUGGCCAACAGACAUAUGAAAACAUGCUCAACAUCACUCAGCAUCAGGCCCAGCAAGAAGAACCAAGCUGCAGAACCACAAAGAUGAAGACCCUUCUUGGCUUCCUUGAACUUCUGGGUGAAACCCUGCAGUCAGAUACUUCCUUCCCAGUAGGAGUGGGGGUACACUCCAGCAAUCCAAGCUGAGGUCAGCCAAGGUCUGUGAUGGGCCCAUUGGUGCCACCCCCUUGCACUCUGGUUAAUGGAGGGUAGGGAUAACGGGAGGGAGCGAAAUGGAAUAGAAAUGCUGGGGUUGGGGGAGGAGAGGCCUCAUUCAUGGGCAAGGGAGAGGGAGGACCAAGUACUGUGCAGGCAGGGGCAUGUUGGAAGUGAAGUGGGGACGCAGCCUGAGGUCAGUGAGGGGACAGAGUAGUCUGCAACUGAGGUGAGGGAUGGAGGGAAUGUUGGGGGCGGGGCCAGGGCCCGCUGGAGGAGAAUCCCAAUGGGUGGGAAGAGUGAAGACAUGGAGUGGGUGGUGGGUAAGUAAAGGGGUCAGUGGGGUGGUGUGAGGGGUUGGGGAGUAGGGGGUUAGAAAAGAAGCUCAUCCCAGAGCAAGGGAAGCUUCCUUUAAGACUUGAGCCCGCAGCCACGCUGAUUCCUCUGGCCUUGGGUUGUUGGGGCAGGAACCACUUUGUACAAUUGGGGGAAAGACGAUUCUCUUGAACUUCCUAGUAGGUAAAAGGGCAUUCUAGACUGGCAGUGUCUCUCACUUACUUGCCACCCUAACCACUCCAAACAUCAGUCCUCUCUUCACUCCCUCCAAGCUAGUGUGAGGCUGGCAUAAAUGAAGGAUUUGAAAAGAUUGUAUGUCUUCUUUGGUUCAUGUCUUCUGCCCAUUUUGACAUGAUUAUCAGUUUUUUGAGUGUUGAGUUUGAUGAGUUCUUUUAUACACCUCGGAUAUCA